rnacentral:misc_RNA from 1 species
GGCCUAUAGGUUGGGUCGUGACAACUCUUAUGUGCGUGACUUACUAGGUUCAUUACUAAUUAGCAAUGAGAAUAAUAUUAACUUCUUAAUAUUAUUGGAACCAUUCCAAACUCAAAUAAAAUUUUCUUUUCAUUUAAGUUCUCAUAAGUCAUAGUUGAAAUCUAGCAUAAUGUAUUAUGUUAUCUAAUUAGUUCUGAAUUAAUUUCCCAAUUCAUGAACCUUGAUCAUACGUAUCAUGCACUAGAAUCUCUCUGUUGCAAAAUCUCAAUUUUAGCUAGAGUCAUGGGUCAUAUCAAACUCUUAUGCUUAGAAUCAUAUGUUCUUCUUUUAAUUAUAAUUCUUGAUUAAUAAGACUUUUCUGUUAGAAACUCUUUUCUGACUAAGUCUAUCUGUCGUAGUCAUGAACUUGAAUUCAUCAAAAAUAAUUAAAUGGACUUAGGGUAACGGAUCCCGUAUUGACUAAUACUUAUCUCCAUAUAUAACUGGUUGGAGUCAACACAUGCCCAUAUAUCCAUACGUAUUACAAGUAUGAAAACAGUAUCAAAUUUAAACCAUCUAUAUACAAGAUAAUUGUGUUAUCUCAGAUCAAGAGAUUAUAUGUACUAUUGUGAUCUAGAUGACUUUAUAUUGACAAGAGCAAACUCCAUGUACAAGUCAUCUUGAGUCACUGGUUCGGCCUACUUAUCUUAUAAGUAUCCACUAUAUUUGUUUAUGGCAUGAAAUUUACCAUUCCAUCUCAUUAGUAUAUUAUACUAAUCAUGGACACAAAUAUAAAAUGACAAUCAAUCCGGAUAAAUUAUGUCUAAUGAGGUAUCAUUGAUUGUGAACCAAAUUUAUAAUAUCUUAUACUAAAAUAUUUUGUCACUCAUAUUCUUAACAACU